CCAAAGGCUCUUUUAAGAGCCACCCACAAUUCUGAAGGGACUGUAU
rfam:Felis catus isolate Cinnamon breed Abyssinian chromosome B2, whole genome shotgun sequence.